UCCUGUCCGGGCCUCGAACCAUGCACUCAGCCAUGUGGGAUCGGGCCGUUGUAACCAGCUCGCCACUGGCUGCACCCCCCCUUACACUUCCCACCCUUCCUGCCCUGCUGUAUUUUUCUCCAGAACACGUAUCGCUAUCAAACUUGUUUAUAUUAUUCAUCGUUUGUCUCCCCACUAGAAUGAAAACUCCGGGAAGGCAGAGAUGUCAUCGGUUUUGUUUGCUGCUAUCUCUCCAGCAAUGAGCACAGGGCCCAGUGCCAAGUCAGCACAAGAAACGCUGCUGACCACGACUGGGUGACACCGGAGAUGUCCCUACUUCCUGUGCCUGGGACUAAUGAUGGCACCUACCUGGUCAGGGUGUCAUGAGAAGUAGUGCGGGCCAUGGACCAGCAGCACGGGCACCCCAUGGAGCUCCAAAGGCACUCUCCUGCUCAGCCCAGGCCUCCCGAACCAGAGCCUGCCCACGGAGACUUGACCAGGCACUGUGGACGCACCUGGAGGUCGGAAAAGCACCGUCUGACCACGAGCUGCUCAGACCCAGUCUUUCCAUCAUU